rnacentral:rRNA from 1 species
GUGGGGAAUAUUGCACAAUGGGCGCAAGCCUGAUGCAGCGACGCCGCGUGAGGGAUGGAGGCCUUCGGGUUGUAAACCUCUUUUAUCGGGGAGCAAGCGUGAGUGAGUUUACCCGUUGAAUAAGCACCGGCUAACUACGUGCCAGCAGCCGCGGUAAUACGUAGGGUGCAAGCGUUAUCCGGAAUUAUUGGGCGUAAAGGGCUCGUAGGCGGUUCGUCGCGUCCGGUGUGAAAGUCCAUCGCUUAACGGUGGAUCCGCGCCGGGUACGGGCGGGCUUGAGUGCGGUAGGGGAGACUGGAAUUCCCGGUGUAACGGUGGAAUGUGUAGAUAUCGGGAAGAACACCAAUGGCGAAGGCAGGUCUCUGGGCCGUUACUGACGCUGAGGAGCGAAAGCGUGGGGAGCGAACAGGAUUAGAUACCCCGGUAGUCC